rnacentral:RNase_P_RNA from 2 species
GGCAGAGAGAGCCCGGUUCCCGCGCCCCGGCCCGCGAGCAAGGGGCGUGAGGAAAGUCCCCCCACCGUCCGGACGGGCGACCGGGCGCAAGCCCGGAGCCGGAGACGGCUGGCUCUGGAACAGAAACGAGACCGCCUGCCUCGACUGAUGAGGUGCUCGGCGGCCCACGGCCGCCGGGACGCGCUUGCGGGCCUCGCCCGCGAGCGUGUGCGAACCGACCCGCAAGGGGAGGGAGCUAACCCACCGAAGAUCGACGGGCAGGAACGGAUGGAACGGCGAACCCUCGCCGGUGCAAGCCCGUGCCCGAAGGUAGUCCGGACAGCCGGCGACGGCAGGGCGCGGGUGCUCAGCCGAAUACCGGGUCGAAACAGAAGGGGGCUUACUCCUCUCGGCC